GAUCCUUCUAUCUCUCAUUGUUGGACAAAACUACACCCACCUCAAUACAUGCGCUUAGGCCAUUACAUACCUCCAAGCAACAUCCGGUUGAUGCUGCGACAUGUGUCCAUCUCAAGAGAGUGAAAAAAGAGUUUGAGUUGUAUCUUUUGGGUGGAAGAAUGGUUGAUCUUCUUUCACAAACUUAAUCAUUGGAUCUCACUUUGCACAUUUUUCAAAGCACGAAGUGAGCUUUAUGAUCUAUGCUGUAGAUGGAAGGAAGAGGUUUAUGACAUUAUGAAAGGUGUGCACAACGCGAUC
rnacentral:lncRNA from 1 species